UUCGAUUAGCUUCUUUGAUCAUUUUUCACCCUUGAUUUUUACUAUUCACUUCGUCUUUUGUUACAACUUUGACUGCUUUACCGGGUGCCUGCCAUUGGGCCCAUAAAAUCAUUGGUCCACGCGGCAGCGGAGUGCUCGUCAACUCGGUCUGUGACCGCCCGUAAAAAAAACCUAGAUCGUCUGAUACUAUAUCUAUGGGGAUAUGUCUGAAGCUUCAGUAUGUUUUCCUCCUAACAGUAUUUAAUCUAACCAGUGGUGCAUCAGGUACUAGAUUGUGGUGAGAAAAUAGAACUACUCGUUGAUAAAGAUAGCAUGCUCGCUCACAUGUAUUGUGGUUUCACACUCAUAAAUCAGUACUUGGGCAUUGGCUUUGUUUAAUAUAUAUAAGAAUGUUAUCAUCAAACUGUAAUAUCUCUACUAAUAAACUUUAUGGAAGUGCACUACCAACUGAAUGAGGAGAGAUCUAUCUUCACCUGAUGAUUCCACCCCUUUUUACAUAACACUAGCUGCCGCACAGCAAAAAGUGUCUCGCAGAUGCUCUUUAUGACACCAACUGACAGAUUAAUGAGUGCACUCAUGGAGAACAUAACAAGGUAUUUUAGGAAGUGCUUGGACUAGGUUCAAAUUUUUGACAAUCUUAGGCACGCUUUUUUUACAGUGUUGGUUUCAAUUUUUUUUUCCGACACAGUUAGACUUUCUGAAAUACAGCCUUGAACUACACAUAUUCUGUACAAAGCUUGUUUAGUUCUCUAAAACCUGCACAUGUUAGAUACAGUUUGCGAGAACAUGUGCAGAUUUGUGAGAACUAAAAACACUUUUUCCCAGAACAUGUCCAUUGAUAGUAAGAUUGUUUGCCAUAGUGAAAGGAGACAAUGCGCUUGAUAUAGCUUGUCAUGAGAUAAUGAAACAAUAGUGUUUAUUUUGUCACCAGCAAGAUGAUGAUGUGAAGAAUGACUAUUUGCGUCAUUCAGAGUUUCUACCAUUAAAUAGUUUCCCAUAACAGAAUAUUUGCUAAUAUUGGUAGCUAAAAAUGAGAUACUUAUGCUUGUUGAUGCCUUCCCUUUUUAUAGUAACAUCCAUGUGUCCAGCAUAUGUAGAAUAUUAGAUUUUUCUUGGCUGUUUAUUGUAGUUCGUUCUUAGGGUUUGGAAAAUUCUUUAGCUAUAUUCCUUGUCUCAAGCGAGCAUGAGCAAUAUCUUCUUUAUUCCGCGUGCCGCCAAGUUUCUCUAUUUUAGAUGGUUGUAUCUUUUCGCUUCUAAAAAGGGAUAUGUAUUUUAUUAAUCUGACUAUAAUUUGUGGUAGGUACAUACUGAAGGAUGUUCUGAGGCUAGCACCUGGUUUGAAGUUUUGAAAUUCACAACAAUACCUCAUAAUUUUGAUUUGAUAUCCAGAAUGUCAAUUGAAGAAUGAGCCUAUGAACUGCAUUGUAUUUUGUAAUAUAUCCUUAUAUAUGGUGCUUGUGGCAUUUUUCUUGCAAUUAUAAGUUUACAUUUAUGGGUAUUUACAGAGUCCCCCUUUCUUUUUCUGCAAGGGGCAAGGGGCAGUAGCUGUGCCAUUUGAUUUGAAGGACAAAGAGUUGAUCACAAAGGGGUAGCAUUCAGGAUAUAUACAGAAGAGUAUAGAACCAAAUUAUAUGAUGUAAUUGACCACUAUUUCUAUUAACUUCUCUCACACAAUGUUCAUGAGUUCAUGUACAUUUUAUUGUGUCACUUGUGUUUACUCUUUUUUUUAAUGCAAGUUUAUAGCUACUCGGAGUUCCUAAUUGCAGGCUCAACUAUCUUUACUUACCGAUGAUCUAAUUUGUGGCAUUAUUACCUAAUAAGAAAAUAUUUGCAUUUAAUUUC
rnacentral:lncRNA from 1 species